rnacentral:misc_RNA from 1 species
AGUCGUAACAAGGUUUCCGUAGGUGAACCUGCGGAAGGAUCAUUGAUAAAAGUCUGUUGACUUUAUAUAACCUUUGUUUAUUUUUUCCCCUGUUUCUUCCACUGGACAGGCUACUUAUAUAUAUAUUUGGCCGCCUCUUACAGUGGAUAGUGAAUAUUAUUCCAGUUUUGAGAGUGCCAGUGGAUAUUUUCAAAAAAAAAAAAAAGUUAAUUUUAAAUUCAGUCUGAAUAUAAUGCAAAAUUGAAUAAAAACUUUCAACAAUGGAUCUCUAGGCUCUU